UAGGGAAUCUUCGGCAAUGGGGGCAACCCGGACCGAGCAACGCCGCGUGAGUGAAGAAGGUUUUCGGAUCGUAAAGCUCUGUUGUAAGAGAAGAACGUGUGUGAGAGUGGAAAGUUCACACAGUGACGGUAACUUACCAGAAAGGGACGGCUAACUACGUGCCAGCAGCCGCGGUAAUACGUAGGUCCCGAGCGUUGUCCGGAUUUAUUGGGCGUAAAGCGAGCGCAGGCGGUUUGAUAAGUCUGAAGUUAAAGGCAGUGGCUUAACCAUUGUUCGCUUUGGAAACUGUUAAACUUGAGUGCAGAAGGGGAGAGUGGAAUUCCAUGUGUAGCGGUGAAAUGCGUAGAUAUAUGGAGGAACACCGGUGGCGAAAGCGGCUCUCUGGUCUGUAACUGACGCUGAGGCUCGAAAGCGUGGGGAGCAAACAGG
rnacentral:rRNA from 1 species